rnacentral:rRNA from 1 species
UACGUAGGGUGCGAGCGUUGUCCGGAAUUAUUGGGCGUAAAGGGCUCGUAGGCGGUCCGUCACGUCGGGAGUGAAAACUCGGGGCUCAACCCCGAGCCUGCUUCCGAUACGGGCAGACUAGAGGUAUGCAGGGGAGAACGGAAUUCCCGGUGUAGCGGUGGAAUGCGCAGAUAUCGGGAGGAACACCCGUAGCGAAGGCGGUUCUCUGGGCCAAUACUGACGCUGAGGAACGAAAGCGUGGGGAGCAAACAGGG